AUUGAACGCUGGCGGCAUGCUUUACACAUGCAAGUCGAACGGCAGCGCGGGCUUCGGCCUGGCGGCGAGUGGCGAACGGGUGAGUAAUGCAUCGGAACGUGCCCAGUAGUGGGGGAUAGGCCGGCGAAAGCCGGAUUAAUACCGCAUACGACCUGAGGGUGAAAGCGGGGGACCGAAAGGCCUCGCGCCAUUGGAGCGGCCGAUGUCGGAUUAGCUAGUUGGUGGGGUAAAGGCGUACCAAGGCGACGAUCCGUAGCUGGUCUGAGAGGACGACCAGCCACACUGGGACUGAGACACGGCCCAGACUCCUACGGGAGGCAGCAGUGGGGAAUUUUGGACAAUGGGGGCAACCCUGAUCCAGCCAUGCCGCGUGCGGGAAGAAGGCCUUCGGGUUGUAAACCGCUUUUGUUCGGGAAGAAAUCCUCUGGGCUAAUACCCCGGGGGGAUGACGGUACCGGAAGAAUAAGCACCGGCUAACUACGUG
rnacentral:rRNA from 1 species